GAAACCCUAAAAGCCACAACUUGAGAAAUCCCUAACCCUAAAACUGUCUGCAGCGAUUUCGUCCUCGUGGUCAUCGAAGCAGCAACCUAGAGUUGUUCGUGGCUGGGUGGUCGGCAUCGCUGCGUCGUCGUCCUGGUGAAGGUUUUGGUGUCGUCCCUAAAACCCAGUGUUUGGGUGUCGUUCGUAAACCUCAGCAUGGAAAGGAGUUCCUCAUCGUACACCUCAGAGGCCCGAAGUCGCGUGGUGUGUUUGUGUAACGUAGAGGCUCCACUGGUGACAUCGUGGACCGAGGAUAAUCCAGGGAAGCAUUUUUAUGGUUGUGGUCUAUACAAGGUUAUAGGUAGGAAAGGGUGUAACUAUUUUGAGUGGCACGAUCCAGUUGCCAACAUUUGUCAAAAGAAGAUCACUGUAACAUUGAUGAAGAAGGUUGAUGAAUUGAAAUUGAGGGAAAAGGAUUUGCUAACCAAGAUGAGUGACAUGAAGAUGAAGGGAAAAUUUUUAGGGAUUGUAUUGGUUUUUUCUUGGGUCUGUGUUUGGUUGUUAUUGUUUUUAUUAUGUAGCAGAGGAAUGUGAUUUCAUAAUGUAGUAGGAGAAUGUAAUUUGACAAUGUAGUAGCAGGGGAAUGUAAUUGGCUGUUGGUCUUUUUUUUGCUGGGUCUCUGCAAAUGGUAGUAAUUUGGCACCAUUAUGUUGUUUAUUUAGGAAGAAAGUAAUGGUGAUAAUUUGGUUUUUUGUAAUCUGUAGAUUGUAAUUGUUGAAUUGUUCAAUGGCUAUGUUAAUGACA